UCAGACUCUCACUCAAGUGAAUGAAGCGCAAGGGCUGUAAGGAUUUGAAAAAACGGUGCCAUCUGCAAAACAACACGGGGUAGGAUCUGCCACACAGUGCCUCAUUUUUCAUGGGUCCAUGUUUCAUUUUUUGGCAGAAAAUAAAAGGUUGUCCGGAUGACUGCAAAGCGCUUCCCCAUCUGAGACACACCAGUGGACGCAAUUCUUCAAGUGUCUUCAUAUUUAUGGAAUAAAACCAGCCAUCAUGUCGGGGAAGCCAGAUGGGAAGAUGAAGUGGGCGGCUGUCAGGGGUCGCCUGGGCUCCUCGCAGGACUCAGAUACCCAGCAGGAGGCCAACCUGGAGAGCGCUGACCCAGAGCUGUGCAUCCGCUUGCUGCAAGUCCCCACCGUGGUCAACUACUCAGGGCUGAGGAGGCGCCUGGAGGGCAGCGACCAGACAUGGAUGGUCCAGUUCCUGGAGCUCAGCGGGCUGGAUCUCCUCCUGGAGGCCCUGGAUCGGCUCUCGGGGCGGGGGUGUUCUCGCAUUGCCGAUGCCCUUCUGCAGCUCACCUGUGUCAACUGCGUCCGGGCUGUCAUGAACUCCUCUGCAGGGAUCCACUUCAUCAUAGACAACGAGGGAUACAUCCGGAAGCUCUCCCAAGCUUUGGACACUUCCAACACCAUGGUGAAGAAACAGGUGUUUGAUCUUCUUGCUGCCCUGAGCGUGUUCUCUGUAGACGGCCAUCGCCUGGCUCUGGAUGCUCUGGAUCACUACAAGGUCGUGAAGACGCAGCAGUAUCGCUUCAGUGUGAUCAUGAACGAGCUGCAGGCCACAGAUAACGUACCUUACAUGGUAACGCUCCUCAGUGUCAUCAACGCCCUCAUCUUCGGCACAGAUGACCUCAGGGAGAGGGAUAAGAUGAGAAAGCAGUUCAUUGGACUUCAGUUACUUGAUGUUCUGCCAAAGUUAAGGGAGGAGGAGGAUGAAGACUUAAUUAUUCAAUGGGAAGCUUUUGAAGAGGCAAUGUCUGAAGAUGAGGAGGAGAUACUGCGGGUCUAUGGGGGUAUUGACAUGAGUGAUCACCUGGAGGUGUUCACUACUCUCUUUAACAAGGUUAGCAGCACCCCAGCCUCCAUGCAGCUGCUGUCCAUCCUGCAGACGCUGCUGUUGCUCGGGCCGGACCACUCUGACAUCUGGCAGGCUCUGGAGUCCAUCACUAACCGAGCCAUACUGCUGGCCCAGGACUCUCAUAUGGAGUCCUCUGAGAAGAUCAUGCAGCGGCUGCUGUUCUCCAAGGGCAAGAGCUGCAGGGGUCAGCACGAGCUGGACGGGCAGCUGGGGAGAGCGGAUAAGGGGGUCCAGACUGACCCAGAUAGUGGGGAUGAAGAGAAGUCAGAGAAAAGCUUAACCUCCUCUCAGAAACCACUGUGUGCCUCUGCUCCUCCUCCUCCUCCUCCUCUAACCCCAAGUAUGCUCCAACCUUCUAACCAGUGCCCACCUCCUCCUCCACCACUACCUGGGGGGUUUGGUGGACCCCCACCUCCUCCGCCUUUGCCUGGAAUUCCACCACCACCGCCACUGCCUGGUGGUCUGGGUAUGCCUCCUCCGCCACCUCCAUUACCUGGCAUGGGUGGUGGCCCACCACCACCACCUCCAUUACCUGGUAUGGGUGGCGGCCCACCACCACCACCUCCAUUACCUGGUAUGGGUGGCGGCCCACCACCACCACCUCCAUUACCUGGCAUGCCAGCUCCUCCGCCUCCCCCCGGCAUGAUGGUGGCUCAGGGUAGUCAGUCCCUGGGGUCCGCUGCCCCCACCAAGGCACACCGAUGCCCCACCCUGAGGAUGAAAAAGCUCAACUGGCAGAAACUGCGUGCGGUUACGGAUGGUCACUCCAUGUGGGCCACGGUUCAGGGUGAGCCGCCUUCUCGGGAGCCGAACUACAGCAGUAUCGAGCAGCUGUUCAGUUUCCCGGUGACCGAGAACAAAGACAAGGGGGCAGCUGCUCCUGUCAAGAAGGAGCCUAAAGAGAUCACAUUCAUUGAUCCAAAGAAAAACUUGAAUUUGAACAUAUUCCUAAAGCAGUUCAAAUGCAAAAAUGAGGACUUUGUAGCCAUGAUUCAGAAUGGAGACCGUACUAAGUUUGACGUAGAGGUGCUGAAACAGCUUGUGAAGCUCCUACCAGAGAGCCAUGAGAUUGAAAAUUUGAAGUCCUUUCAAGGAGACAAAGAAAAGUUGGCAAAUGUUGACCGGUUCUACACCUCCCUUCUCACUGUUCCCUGUUAUCAGUUGAGGAUUGAGUGCAUGUUGUUGUGUGAGGAGAUUUCAUCAGUGUUGGAUAUGCUCAAACCUAGAGCUAAGCUGGUGGCGGAAGCCUGCCAGUCCCUCAGAACUAGCACGCUCAUGCCCAGUUUCUGCAAGCUCAUCCUGGACGUUGGUAAUUUUCUCAAUUAUGGAAGUCACACCGGGAACGCUGCAGGGUUCAAGAUCAGCUCUCUGCUCAAACUCACAGAGACCAAGGCCAACAAGAGCCGCAUUACGCUGCUUCAUCACAUCCUGGAGGAAGUAGAGGUGAACCACCCAGAGCUGUUGGCGCUGCCGGAUGAUAUAGAGAUCUGUGAAAAAGCAGCAGGAAUUAGUCUGGAAUCUGUUCAGUCAGAAGCCAGUGCCUUACUAAAACGUCUGAACGAGACGGCUAAGAAGGUCUCCACCUCUGACGAAGAGGUGAAGGAGCAGUACGGAAACAUUCUUCAGGAAAGUCUGGAGGCAUGUCAGGACUUGACCGAAACAUUAACGGAGACUGAGAAGACAAAGAGUGAGCUGGCUGUCUACUUAUGUGAAGAUGUCAACCAGCUGUCGCUUGAGGAACUCUUCGGAACCAUCAAAACUUUCCGAGGACUUUUCCUCAAGGCACUAAAGGAAAACAAAUCCAGACGAGAGCUGGCAGCCAAGGCUGAGAAGAGGAAGAAGCAGCUGGCAGAUGAAGAGUCCAAGAGACAGAAGGGAGAGAAUGGAAAAAUCAUCAAGAAAGGCUUUGUCCCGCAGGACGACGACUGCAUCAUCGAUCACCUCCUGGCGGAUAUCAGAAAAGGUUUCAGCCUCAGAAAGACCAGGCCAAGGUGCGAUUCGGAAAGCCUCCCUUCUAGUGAAAUUCGUAGGGAUACCCUCCCAUCUGGGUCAAGUGUGAAGCCUGUCGAAGAAAAAGACGCAGAACUAGCCGUCACCUUCGCUCCCUCCAAAACUCCGUCAGAGGGUCCACGGGCCGAGACAGGCGGAGUGAACGGCUUCCUCAGCCCGUCAGAAGAGACUCCUCCAGCACCUCAGAGUGCAGUUCAAGGCGGACCAGCUGCACCUCCCAAGGCACCCCCAGGAGUACCAGCCAUGAUGAAGCAGGCACCCCUGGUAAGACCUGCGUCGCUGCAGGGUGGGUUACACCCACAGGGACCCGCAGUGUCUUCACCAGAUACGAUGCAACCUCAGCCUCAGGUUGAAGCGGAACAUCAACCAUGUUUCCCCACAAAUGGCUUCUCACCGGAUUCCUCCGAGGCUAGCGUCCUCAGCCCGACUUCCCUCUCCGAUUCUGACCUGCUAGAAGCUGUGUUGGAUGGCACGUCCAGCCUGGCAUCUGAGAAGAUGAUUCCCAAAGAGCCAGUGGAUGGUAAAGUAGAUAUUCAUAUGAAGGAAGGUCCUUUACCGAAUGCUAACAAUGUGCCGAGUAGUGAGAGAAACACAACGGGAGAUGAAGAUGGAGAAAUUAGUAAUGAAAUAAGCCAUUUACCAGAGACUGUAGGACAAGAGAAGGGGCGAGAAGAGAUUAUUUUGAAAACGUCCGUGACUACACUCAGUGAGGGCUUUGAUGUUCCCGAUGGACUGGUGUCACCAGAUCUGCCGUCAGUGUCUGAAGCACUGCCUCCAUCCCCUAAGCCCGAACCAAAGAGAAAGAGGAGCUUCUAUAAACCAAACAAAAAGAAUCCAGGUAAUCUCUCCAUUACAUUUAAUAAAGCGCAUGUUGGGAACGCUAGUCUCUUGAUGCCUAUUAAAGGGAAAUUCAUAUUUGUUUGUCUUUUUAUUGCAUUUAACAUUUUAUGUAUCGGCUAUGUUACUGUGUAUUCAUAAGCAUUUUAUUAAAGACUAUGCAGUGUGCAGGAAAUGUUGCAGAUUUUUUUGUAAUGCUCUGUUUUCAUUCUGAAACACAAAUGUAUUUAUUUUUGUAGUCUUUGUAUUUGUAUUAACACAAACAUUUCCCAAAUUGGGAUCAAUAAAGUACCAUCUUAUCUUAUCUUAAGGUAACAGGGCGAAAGGACACACUAAACAUAAAAAAGGCUGUGUGUUGCAGUGAGGUUACUCCAGAAAAAGAAAAUCGAGAGGAAAGAGAAAAUGUUAAUAUCGCACAGGAGUUGUGAACUGGAAGGACUACAAUACUAUUAGUUUGUGAGACUGCAUGAGCAUUGACUCCUUGAAGAGGAUGCAGAAGUCUUCCUUUUGCAAUGAUUUGUUUUCCAUGACCAAGAAGAGUAAACGCGUCUUAAGGCUGGGAUUUCCAAAAACAUGGAUCUCCAAAUGUCUCUUUAUGUAAAUUAGUUGUGGAAUUUGUGUUUUUGAUUCUGAUCUAUUGAAAAAAAGUGGCUUUAUAUGUUUUGUACAAUUGUUGUAAUAUGAAGUGAAUGUGUUUUUGCAUUACGCUCUAUUACCUUUUCCGCACCUUAGAAAGAAAGAUGCAGUGUUGCUGGUGCAACAACACAAACGAUAUGUAACUAAUCAAAACAAAACUUAUUGAAUGUCUUAAUUUCUAUGUAUAUUAUCCAGAUGAUCUCUAACAGGAAAAUAUAAGGAUAUUUAAUGGAUUGUGAAUUGUAUUGUUAAAUAUAUUUUAAUAAAAGUGAAUUUACUGUUUAA